AUUUGACUAUGCAGCUGACAA
rnacentral:piRNA from 1 species